rnacentral:lncRNA from 1 species
UUUGCUUUAGUUUAUUCCAUCACAGCACAGUCCACAUUUAAUGAUUUACAAGAUCUGAGAGAACAGAUUCUUCAAGUUAAAGACACUGAUGAUGUUCCAAUGAUUCUGGUUGGUAAUAAAUGUGACUUGGAAGAUGAAAGAGUCAUAGGAAAGGAACAAGGUCAAAAUCUAGCAAGACAGUGGAACAACUGUGCAUUCUUAGAAUCUUCUGCAAAAUCAAAAAUAAAUGUUAAUGAGAUCUUUUAUGACCUAGUGCAGCAAAUUAACAGAAAAACUUCAGUGCCUGGGAAGGCCCUCAAAAAGUCAUCAUGUCAGCUGCUUUAAUAUACUAAAUGCAUUGUAGCUCUGAGCCAGGUCUGAAGAACUGUUGCCCAAUUCAACAGUGCCAGCAUUCCAACUUUGUUAAACCUACCAACAUCUUAAAUGGACUUUCCUGUGGUGGUACACUUUAAGAGGCAGAUGAAAGCUACUAUAUCAGUUUGCACACUCUAAUCACUUUCCAGUAUCACAAGAGAGAUUUUUACUUAUAUAAUAGCCCUAGAGUAUGCAGCUGGUAAAACCAGAGGCUACAUCCAGUAUUACUGCUAAGAGACAUUUCUUCAUCCACCAAUGUUGUACAUGUAUGAAAAUGGUGUACUGUAUACUUUAACACACCUCAUACUUUGUAUUGGAGAGUACAAUAAUGUAAAUCCUAGAAGCACCACUAUUUUAGCAUAAUAAAAGAAAAUCCAAAGAGCUCCUAUAUAGACUGUUCCAGAUAACUUUGCUUCUUUGAUACUUGUAGCUUAUUGUAAUUUUUUUAAAAUCAAGGUCAUUGUCAUUGUAUUGUACAAAAAAGCGCUUUGUUAACACAGCUAUGUAAUUUUUUAAUUUUUCAAAAACUUGUGGAGACCGUGAUCUUGUCUUUAAACUAUGAUAGUCCUUUCAGUAUAAUGUCUUAGAUUAAAGACGUUGCCUUUAAUAUCUGUUGGGAAGGAAAUGUCCAGACUUUUCAAAUUCCCUUAUUAUGUUUCCUUUUUUGUUUACAUAGGGAACAAUGUUUAUAGUUGUGUGUACAGUGGGGGUCUACAACAAGAAAUGUAUAUUUUCAAACAAUUUUUUAAUGAUUUAACAAUUUUUGUAAAUCAUUUUCAGGCUUCUGCAGCUGUAGAUUCUCACUGUGAAUCCCUUGCUUGCUCAUGCAUAAGUGUAUUUGCAAUACCAAAUAUACAGGUUUAGUAUUUUUGCCUGUUAGUGAUUGUUUCACAUGUGUAACGUUUUGAUUGAGAUGUUAAAUGGUGGACGAGUACUGUGGAUGUGAAUGUGGGAAGUAAUUUUAAUCAUGUGUAACUGGUCACAAGGCCUAAUUUGCAGUAACUAUUGCUGUUUUAUUUAACAAUGCCUUGUUGCUUUGUAUGCAUUAAUGUUUGGGUGUAAAGAUUGUGUGUCUACCCAACAGGGAGCCACAGUAUUUAAAUUGACCAACCUAAUGUUACAACUACUUUGAGGUGGCCAAAUGUAAACUAAAAGCCUUAAUUAAAGUGGUUCAAUUUUGUAUA